rnacentral:lncRNA from 1 species
GGAACGGUGGCUGCCUGCUCCCGGGACCUGUGGAUGUGUGACACCCCGCUCCCAAAGUGAGCAGAUGGCUCAGGGUCCCUGCCGUCUCAGGAGCCCGUGGGUUCACUGGGACCAGUCGGGCUGUUUUCAGGUGCACACGGCAUUGGCUGAGGCCAUGGUGGUCUGGGAGCUGGACUGGACCAAACUGUCCAUCAGGGAUCACUCACUGGAGGGGGGUUAAGAGUGGCUGAGUCAGGGCACUGGGCCAGCUGGGCUCCCCUCUCUGUGGUCUCAAAGUCUCUCCCUCGCUUAUUCUCUCCAUACACAGUGUCUCCAGUGCAGACACCACACUGCUUAUGUGCUGGCUUCCAGCCCCUGGACACAGCAGUACAAGCCUCUCUGACUUCUCAAGACUUAAACCAGAGCUGGCCCAGCGUCACCCUUGCCGUGUUUUAUUGCCUGAACACCCGAGGCUCAGAGAUGCUGAGUCACUUCACCAGAGCUCUGAAGCUGAGUCCGUCAACCCCCAUGACGUCCCAUCCCGUCGGGAAGAAUAGUCCACGAUGACUCUCUGUGGUGCAGCUGACAGAACGAGGUCCUGACAGGUGGAGUGGUCCAGGGUUCCCUCAGCCAGGGUCCCAGUGCCCCCUUUGAGGAGAAUAGAUGCAAGAGAAAGUGCAGGGCCUGGCACAUAGUAGGUGUUCAGUAAACGCAAACGCAAACCAAGCCCUCCACUCCAAGCCAGAUCACUCGUGCAGCUCAUGUCGGGGGUCCACAGACUGCAGCUGGGGCAUCGCGUUAUUGGCCUGACUGUGGUCAGGACUGAAUUUCCGACUGGGUGACCGACAAGCUCGGAAGGAGUAGUUCCCUCCCCCACUUGCCUCUCACCCACAGCCGUUCGGUUUCUGAGCGAUCUGUUCCUAGAAAGGAACAGAUUGAUGCAUCGGCUGUGUGUGGCCAAGUGAUUUAUUUUUAAUGUGACUAAACAAGACAUGCACCUGCCUAUGGAAAUGUAAGCCCGUUGAUGCGGAUGGCCCACUAGGCAAGGAAGAGACGGAAGAAGCAGAGGAGAGGAGAGGGAAGGAGGAGGGGGAGGUGGAGAGGGGAGAGUAGGAAACCGGGGGGCGCGUGUCAGCCCCCUGAAAAGGAGGCUGUGGGCAGCAUCAGCGGAGCACCUCCCAUUGGCCUAGCAGCCCCCCCACCCCAUUCAGCUUUGUGGAUGGCUGACAUCUCAGAAUUCACCUGCGCCUCCGCGGUUUCAUCAAGCCGGCCCGCGCCGUGGGAGUGUCAGUGCCGGGAGCCCAGCGCAGCACCGCACCGCACCCAUUGUUUUCACCAGUGAGAAGGACGUUGUGGGGUCCUUUAUGAAAGCAGGGUUUGUUUUAUUCCCCCCUGGGGGAUGGAUGUGGGCAUGGAAGCAACGUUUAUGGAGGUCACCAGUUAGGGGACAAAAAGACACAGAAAGGAACCGAGGGGUUCUGGACACCCCUCUUCUUCACAGCUUUCUUAAUUAUAACAGUGGCCUCUAACUGGGCACCUACUGCGUCCGGACACCGG